GUCACUGGAGAGAGAAAACUAGGAGAUGAGGGAGUGGGACCAAGGACAUAGGUCACAUCAUUCUCUCAGAUUGGAGAAAGGAGAUAAGUCUGCAGGUGAGAGAAAGUAAUUGAGAGAAAUCACACUAGCUAGCCUCCAUUUUCUUGGUAGUAUAGAAGGCCAAGUUAACUGUGGAAAGUUGAAGGAAACAGAAGUUGCAAUGGGACUUUGGGAGAGUAGAGAG
rnacentral:lncRNA from 1 species